rnacentral:rRNA from 1 species
AUUGAACGCUGGCGGCAUGCCUUACACAUGCAAGUCGAACGGCAGCACGGGAGCAAUCCUGGUGGCGAGUGGCGAACGGGUGAGUAAUAUAUCGGAACGUGCCCAGUCGUGGGGAUAACGUAGCGAAAGCUACGCUAAUACCGCAUACGAUCUAUGGAUGAAAGCGGGGGAUCGCAAGACCUCGCGCGAUUGGAGCGGCCGAUAUCAGAUUAGGUAGUUGGUGAGGUAAAGGCUCACCAAGCCGACGAUCUGUAGCUGGUCUGAGAGGACGACCAGCCACACUGGGACUGAGACACGGCCCAGACUCCUACGGAGGCAGCAGUGGGGAAUUUUGGACAAUGGGCGCAAGCCUGAUCCAGCAAUGCCGCGUGCAGGAUGAAGGCCUUCGGUUGUAACUAGCUUUUGUACGGUAACGAAACGGUGAGCGUCUAAUACUAGUUU